CUUGGAAUGCCUAGAAGAUUCUGGUGCUCAACAGGACAAUGGACACCUCCUUUCCUAUCAAGGUACAAUCCACCAUUCCCUGGGGUAGCUCAGUUGGUACAGCAGAAGACUCAUCCUCAGGGUUGUGGGUUUGAGCCCCAUGUUGGGCAAAAGACUCCUGCAUUGCAGGGGGUUGAACUAGAUGACCCUCAUGGUACUUUCCAACUUUACAGUUCUAUGGUUCCAUGAUUCUCAGGGCCCCAACAGGUGUGUUGGGAAGGACCUUCACCCAACCCCAGAAAAAUAGGAGUAGCAGACAAGCAGCCACCCAAGCUGUCUGAUUGGGUACACAAGGGGGUUUCCCUACUCAUCAAGUCCAAAUCCCCUUCCUCCACUGUCACACUUUCCCCUAUUUGACUUUGCUGCUAGUCUCACAGGCAAAAUGCAAAUCUCUGUCAACAUUCGGAUGAGAACUGAAGAAGAAUGUGCCGCAUGUGCAGUUCAGCUUAUCUGCCUCGAGAGAAAUGUAUUUUAGCACGGAUAAAAGUGUCGCUGAAAAUAUUCUAAGAAAACCGAGACUGAUCACCAGACAGAUUAUGCCGGGGAUGAGACUAAACACAGUCUGUCAGCUUCUGUGCAGGUAUCUGGAGCCAGAUCCCAAGGGAAGGUUCCAAGUUUUUGGUUGUUGUUGUUUUUUAAUGAGAUAAAAUUAUGGUGAAGAUUAUCUCUCUUUUGCAUAGCUGCAGCCCAGUUUCCUAAACUGCAGGAGGAAGUGAACCAAGAAAUUUUCGCAUCACUAGAAAUGAAAAACAGUUAUAUGUGCACCCCUGCCCUCUUCUACACUUUGGCAUUUGUGAGCUCGGUGCAACAAGACCAGCACCAGGUGCUGCAGUUGCCAGGAGGCUGGGGAAGAGCACUCGACAUCUUUGCCCUCCCCAGCACUCCCCUUUACCUGAGGGUAGUUGAGAGAGCCAAUUGUAAAGCAUCUAGCCUGGUGAGAUGACCUACCCCACUCCCUCUGCACUGUAUGACUUUCAUUUUGCUCUGUAUUUAUAUAUUAAAUUCAGAUUAUAUCCUGG